AGAGUUUGAUCAUGGCUCAGAACGAACGCUGGCGGCGUGGAUAAGACAUGCAAGUCGAGCGCUGAUUUCAAGGUAGCAAUAUUUUGAAGUCGGAGCGGCGCAAGGGUGCGUAACACGUGGGUAAUCUGCCAUGAAGUCCGGGAUAACUUGCUGAAAGGCGAGCUAAUACCGGAUGUGACAACCGGGAGGCAUCUUCUGGUUGUUAAAGUUGGGGACCGUAAGGCCUGACGCUUCUUGAUGAACCCGCGGCCUAUCAGCUAGUUGGUGAGGUAACGGCUCACCAAGGCUAAGACGGGUAGCUGGUCUGAGAGGACGACCAGCCACACUGGAACUGAGACACGGUCCAGACACCUACGGGUGGCAGCAGUCGAGAAUUUUUCACAAUGGGCGCAGGCCUGAUGGAGCGACGCCGCGUGGGGGAUGAAUGGCUUCGGCCCGUAAACCCCUGUCAUUCGCGAUCAACCCGCAUUAUUUAAAAGAUGAUGCGCUGAUAGUAGCGGAAGAGGAAGGGACGGCUAACCCUGUGCCAGCAGCCGCGGUAAUACAGAGGUCCCAAGCGUUGUUCGGAUUCACUGGGCGUAAAGGGUGCGUAGGUGGUGAGGAAAGUCGGAUGUGAAAUCUCGGAGCUCAACUCCGAAAUGGCAUUGGAAACUACCUUGCUCGAGGAAUGGAGGGGGGACUGGAAUUCUCGGUGUAGCAGUGAAAUGCGUAGAUAUCGAGAGGAACACCAGUGGCGAAGCGAGUCCCUGGACAUCUCCUGACACUGAGGCACGAAAGCUAGGGGAGCAAACAGGAUUAGAUACCCUGGUAGUCCUAGCCGUAAACGGUGCGUGUUUGCUGUAAAAGGAAUCGACCCCUUUUGUGGCGGAGCCAACGCGUUAAACACGCCGCCUGGGAAGUACGGUCGCAAGAUUAAAACUCAAAGAAAUUGACGGGGGCCUGCACAAGC
rnacentral:rRNA from 1 species